UCCAAGAACCGCAACAUUGUCAAUGUCAAAAAACAACGAAACCACUAAUCCUUUCGCAAAGAACCAAAGAAAAAAUAGAUACGAAAGGCUACCUUUCUAAAAUGCGCAAAAAGUCAAUCUGAUUUGCAGGCUAAAUGUGCUUCAAUCCGACCUCUUAAUCUCUGGUUUUCUGGUUAGAACCCAAAUCAAAUCAGCAUCACUUUACUUUCGAAUUAAAGGUAUGCGUUAUUCUUUUUCGCCGAAUUUGCAAGCCACCUUUUGAUAAUACUAUGUUUGAUGAUAGAGUAGUCAGAUUAUAACAAAUAUCUCGUUAUUGUUCUGUGUACUAUAAUUAUAAUUAUUGCGAAUCUAUUAGAUCUCGUAUUUCGAACAAACAAACAAACAAACAAAUAUGUAUGUGUAACAAUUUGCGUCGAAAUUCUUCUCUCUUAUUUUUUGCGCCCCCUCCGGUGGCCCGCAUGGCAAUUGUUAAGAUUUUUAUGCACGACAGCCCGUAGACUAUACCGAGCGCAAUGAACUGUGCACGCAAAUUUGCCAAAAAUGUUCAAUUUACGAUCAAUAAAGUGGGAUUGAGCGAAAUUCAGGUUUGAUACACGUCGAGAAAUUGCGGAUAAUCUUGAGUGUCAUCACGCGUGUGUAUCAUUGUUUGAUACUGGAUUUGUGUGAUUGUUGUUUUCUGACAAAUCAUCGUGUGUAAUUUCGAGCCAUUCCAAAAGAAAUAAAUUCCGUACGCAGUAAACUCGGCUAUUCAUUCGUUCGCAAAAGUUUGACCCGUUGACCACGAACAGUGCAUAGCAAUAUAUACAUUGAAGAUCAUUUUACAUUUACAACAUUUCAAAGUUCAAAAGAAGAAUAUCCAAAAAAGUUCCCGAAGAUAAAGAUAAACGAUACGAUACGAUACGAGAUAAAAUCAAUAGCAAUCAAAACAACAUCAGUGACUCCAAUUCUAACUUCAAGUGCAAUAAAUCCAUCCCGGUAAACAACAAUGAAGUGGUUCAGUGUCUUGUUUGUGGCAUUCAUUUGGAUGUUAUUUGCCGUUGGAAGCAUUGAGAUGCAUCCACGACCACAGCCAGAGCUACCGGAGAAUAUAAAUAACGAACAUUCCAUGGCAAGUCCUUGUUCAAGCCGAAAGAGGAGAUGUUUUUAAAAAUUAAUCGAAAUAUGAGUAUGAAGAAAAAAAAUCACGCCUCUGACAGAUGAUUUUGCUUAGAUUACAUCAAAUGGAAUUCAUCUGAUCAAUCAGAUAUCAACAACAAUAAUUUAUUUUUCUUAUAUUUAACCGAAUUUGUUCCCCAUAUCUUAUUUUUCAACUUUUACACACACUAAGUGUGACGGAAGAGUGUUACAAUUAUUUAUGUUUUUCCUGCAAUAAAAGCCAAUAAAUCAAACUCCAAUAUUAAA